AGCUUUACACAGUGGCAGUAUCGUAGCCAAUGAGGUUUAUCGAGGUGCGAUUAUUGCUAAUUGAAAAAAUAAAAAAUAAAUUAAUUAAAAUUAAACACAAUAGCUGCUUCAAAGCA
rfam:Myotis brandtii contig158398, whole genome shotgun sequence.